rnacentral:rRNA from 1 species
GAAAAAUUCCGAUGGUUAGAGGAUGGGCAUGCGUUGUAUUAGCUAGUUGGUGGGGUAACGGCUCACCAAGGCGACGAUACCAUAGGGGGACUGAGAGGUUAACCCCCCCANACUGGUACUGAGACACGGACCAGACUCCUACGGGGGGCAGCAGUGAGGAAUAUUGGUCAAUGGACGCAAGUCUGAACCAGCCAUGCCGCGUGCAGGAUGACGGCUCUAUGAGUUUGUAAACUGCUUUUGUACUAGGGUAAACUCACCUACGUGUAGGUGACUGAAAGUAUAGUACGAAUAAGGAUCGGCUAACCUCCGUG